GUAGUCCACGCCUAAACGAUGUCAACUAGCUGUUGGGGACUUCGGUCCUUGGUAGCGCAGCUAACGCGUGAAGUUGACCGCCUGGGGAGUACGGUCGCAAGAUUAAAACUCAAAGGAAUUGACGGGGACCCGCACAAGCGGUGGAUGAUGUGGAUUAAUUCGAUGCAACGCGAAAAACCUUACCUACCCUUGACAUGUCUGGAAUGCCGAAGAGAUUUGGCAGUGCUCGCAAGAGAACCGGAACACAGGUGCUGCAUGGCUGUCGUCAGCUCGUGUCGUGAGAUGUUGGGUUAAGUCCCGCAACGAGCGCAACCCUUGUCAUUAGUUGCUACGAAAGGGCACUCUAAUGAGACUGCCGGUGACAAACCGGAGGAAGGUGGGGAUGACGUCAAGUCCUCAUGGCCCUUAUGGGUAGGGCUUCACACGUCAUACAAUGGUCGGGACAGAGGGCUGCCAACCCGCAAGGGGGAGCCAAUCCCAGAAACCCGAUCGUAGUCCGGAUCGCAGUCUGCAACUCGACUGCGUGAAGUCGGAAUCGCUAGUAAUCGCGGAUCAGCAUGUGGGCGGUGAAUACGUUCCCGGGUCUUGUACACUCCCUCU
rnacentral:rRNA from 1 species